rnacentral:rRNA from 1 species
UUACAACUUUCAACAACGGAUCUCUUGGUUCUGGCAUCGAUGAAGAACGCAGCGAAAUGCGAUACGUAGUGUGAAUUGCAGAAUUCAGUGAAUCAUCGAAUCUUUGAACGCACAUUGCGCCCUUUGGUAUUCCAAAGGGCAUGCCUGUUCGAGCGUCA